GGAAGAGGAUGUAGCUCAGUGGUAGAGUGUGUGCUUCGCACGCACAAGGUCCUGGGUUCAACCCCUAGUACUUCCA